GGGUUGUGAGGUUAAGCGACUAAGCGUACACGGUGGAUGCCCUGGCAGUCAGAGGCGAUGAAGGACGUGCUAAUCUGCGAUAAGCGCCGGUAAGGUGAUAUGAACCGUUAUAACCGGCGAUUUCCGAAUGGGGAAACCCAGUGUGAUUCGUCACACUAUCAUUAACUGAAUCCAUAGGUUAAUGAGGCGAACCGGGGGAACUG
rnacentral:rRNA from 1 species